rnacentral:rRNA from 1 species
AGGGGAAACGACAUCGAAAGCUUGCUUUUGAUGGGCGUCGACCGGCGCACGGGUGAGUAACGCGUAUCCAAUUUGCCCACCACUUGGGGAUAACCUUGCGAAAGUAAGACUAAUACCCAAUGAUAUCCCACGAAGACAUCUGAAAGAGAUUAAAGAUUUAUCGGUGAUGGAUGGGGAUGCGUCUGAUUAGCUUGUUGGCGGGGUAACGGCCCACCAAGGCAACGAUCAGUAGGGGUUCUGAGAGGAAGGUCCCCACAUUGGAACUGAGACACGGUCCAAACUCC